rnacentral:tmRNA from 1 species
GGGGGCGUAAUGGUUUCGACGGGGUUGUUGGGACCGAAGAAGCGGGUAGAGGAUUCUCGUUGGCCUCUCUAAAAACGGGAAAGCAAGUAAUUGCAACACCUAAAACACAACUCGUAGCCGCCUAAUACCGGCCACGCAUCCCUCCAUCCGAUCUGCUGGGUGGGUUCGGGGUGUCAGACAGCAGACCUUACCUGUCGGCAGGUUAAACAGGGAAACGCCGCGCGAAAAGCUUUGACCGCGCGAUGUAGACAUGAAGCUACCGGACGCGUCGGCCUGUCAGCGGGCUUGGCGAAGAGGGAAAUACUCUAAACACUGACUGCACCCGGAGAUGCUUCGGAGGAUAUGAUUUCGGACAGGAGUUCGACUCUCCUCGCCUCCACCA